CCCCUCCGGGUCGUAGGCCGGCGUCGUCCUCUCCUUCACCGCCCGCAUCAGCUUCCACACCUUCGGCUACUCCAGCCUCAACUCCUCGCGCGCCUCCUCGAGGAGGGCGUGCCCGUCGCAGAACAUCUAGAGCCUCCUCCCCUUCCCGCUCACCUCCUUCUUCGGCUCGAACUACGCCAACUUCGCGAACGCCUCCUUCCACCCCUCGUGGUACUCCACCAUCAGCACGUGGGUGUGCUUCAGCAGCAGGCCCAACUAGUGGAGGUCGUGGAACAGCCGCUUGUGGAACAACCGCCUCUGCAUCCGGACGGUCUCGUCCGCCAGCUUCGCCGGCGGCUCCAGGCCCCUGUCGCCGUCGUACAUCACCUUCUCGCCGGUCUCCACGACGAACGUCUUCGGCACCAUCAUCGCGCGCCGCCACAGCCGCCCCUCCUUCCGGCCGUGCGUCAACAUCCUCAGCUCCUCGCGGACGCGGUGCCGCAGGACGAGCCCCUGGCCGUGCAGGAGCGCCUCCGUCGGCUACAUCUACUUGAGGUACCUCCCCCUCCUCCUCGAGAAGACGUCCACCGCCUCGUCGCUCAGGAGCAGGGUCCUCUUCCAGGUGCCGAGGAGGCCGCUGCGGCCCGCCACCCGGGCCUAGCCCUCCACCAACCGCUGCUGCUACCACGCGCCCGCGCCGCGGCCCCUGCCGCACCUCCCGCUGCGGCCCCUCAGGAGGUACUCGGGGUCGCACCACUGGUGCGAGCCCUCCGCGGCGGCGUCGCGCGGCUCGCGCCGGCCGCGGCGGGGGACCAGGCGACGCGGCCACCGGUCCAGGUCGUCCAACCUCAUCCUCGACCUGUGGUACCGGCGGAAGACGAUGGAGAGCGCUCUCGUUCUAAGUCCUAAAGCGCUCUUCCCCCCGCCUAAACCCCGCUUAACCC
rnacentral:rRNA from 1 species